UACGUAGGGUCCGAGCGUUGUCCGGAGUUAUUGGGCGUAAAGAGCUCGUAGGCGGUUUGUCGCGUCUGCCGUGAAAUUUCGAGGCUCAACCUCGAACUUGCGGUGGGUACGGGCAGACUAGAGUGUGGUAGGGGAGACUGGAAUUCCUGGUGUAGCGGUGAAAUGCGCAGAUAUCAGGAGGAACACCGAUGGCGAAGGCAGGUCUCUGGGCCACCACUGACGCUGAGAAGCGAAAGCAUGGGGGAGCGAACAGG
rnacentral:rRNA from 1 species